AUUGAACGCUGGCGGCAUGCCUUACACAUGCAAGUUGAACGGUAACAGCACUUCGGUGGCUGACGAGUGGCGAACGGGUGAGUAAUACAUCGGAACGUGCCCGAGAGUGGGGGAUAACGCAGCGAAAGCUGUGCUAAUACCGCAUACGAUCUACGGAUGAAAGCAGGGGAUUCGCAAGGACCUUGCGCUCAUGGAGCGGCCGAUGGCAGAUUAGGUAGUUGGUGGGAUAAAGGCCUACCAAGCCGACGAUCUGUAGCUGGUCUGAGAGGACGACCAGCCACACUGGGACUGAGACACGGCCCAGACUCCUACGGGAGGCAGCAGUGGGGAAUUUUGGACAAUGGGCGCAAGCCUGAUCCAGCCAUGCCGCGUGCGGGAAGAAGGCCU
rnacentral:rRNA from 1 species